CAGGCCUCGGUUGAAGGGCGGAGACCUGAAUGGCGCUGGAACGAGUUGUUCUGCUGCGUUCCCGACCACGCGUGACGCUUUACGGUUGAGCAGAGUGCCCACGCAGAACACAUGGAGAUCCCCGCUUACCUCCACGCCCGCUUCCUGCGCUCCACUGACUGCAAACACGACCCGCUGAUGUCUAAAACAACAUAAUCAUGAGAUGUUUUGUUGAAAUGAAGGCCCAGCUCAGAAGCUACCUCUUCCGUGCAGACUUCUUGGAUCAUCAUGAUACCUUCUCUACCAAUUGCUUCUAUAAUAAAUGAUACUGGGUCAUU